rnacentral:rRNA from 1 species
CCUACGGGGGGCUGCAGUGGGGAAUAUUGGACAAUGGGGGGAACCCUGAUCCAGCCAUGCCGCGUGUGUGAAGAAGGCCCUCGGGUUGUAAAGCACUUUCAGUGAGGAAGAACGCCUGGUGGUUAAUACCCAUCAGGAAAGACAUCACUCACAGAAGAAGCACCGGCUAACUCCGUGCCAGCAGCCGCGGUAAUACGGAGGGUGCGGCGUUAAUCGGAAUUACUGGGCGUAAAGCGCGCGUAGGUGGCUUGAUAAGCCGGUUGUGAAAGCCCCGGGCUCAACCUGGGAACGGCAUCCGGAACUGUCAAGCUAGAGUGCAGGAGAGGAAGGUAGAAUUCCCGGUGUAGCGGUGAAAUGCGUAGAGAUCGGGAGGAAUACCAGUGGCGAAGGCGGCCUUCUGGACUGACACUGACACUGAGGUGCGAAAGCGUGGGUAGCAAACAGGAUUAGAUACCCUGGUAGUC